CGCGGCCUAUCAGCUUGUUGGUGAGGUAAUGGCUCACCAAGGCGACGACGGGUAGCCGGCCUGAGAGGGCGACCGGCCACACUGGGACUGAGACACGGCCCAGACUCCUACGGGAGGCAGCAGUGGGGAAUAUUGCACAAUGGGCGAAAGCCUGAUGCAGCGACGCCGCGUGAGGGAUGACGGCCUUCGGGUUGUAAACCUCUUUCAGCAGGGAAGAAGCGCAAGUGACGGUACCUGCAGAAGAAGCGCCGGCUAACUACGUGCCAGCAGCCGCGGUAAUACGUAGGGCGCAAGCGUUGUCCGGAAUUAUUGGGCGUAAAGAGCUCGUAGGCGGCUUGUCACGUCGGGUGUGAAAGCCCGGGGCUUAACCCCGGGUCUGCAUUCGAUACGGGCUAGCUAGAGUGUGGUAGGGGAGAUCGGAAUUCCUGGUGUAGCGGUGAAAUGCGCAGAUAUCAGGAGGAACACCGGUGGCGAAGGCGGAUCUCUGGGCCAUUACUGACGCUGAGGAGCGAAAGCGUGGGGAGCGAACAGGAUUAGAUACCCUGGUAGUCCACGCCGUAAACGGUGGGAACUAGGUGUUGGCGACAUUCCACGUCGUCGGUGCCGCAGCUAACGCAUUAAGUUCCCCGCCUGGGGAGUAC
rnacentral:rRNA from 1 species